rnacentral:rRNA from 1 species
UACGUAGGGUGCGAGCGUUAAUCGGAUUUACUGGGCGUAAAGCGUGCGCAGGCGGCCCGUUAAGACAGGUGUGAAAUCCCUGGGCUCAACCUAGGAAUUGCGCUUGUGACUGGCGGGCUCGAGUACGGUAGAGGGGGGUGGAAUUCCUGGUGUAGCAGUGAAAUGCGUAGAGAUCAGGAGGAACACCGAUGGCGAAGGCAGCCCCCUGGGCCUGUACUGACGCUCAUGCACGAAAGCGUGGGGAGUAAACAGG